rnacentral:RNase_P_RNA from 1 species
CGGGAUUUUCGGGUUGUCGCGGUGUGGGCCUUUCCGGCCCCCAUCGAGGAAAGUCCGAACUCCACAGGGCAGCAUGCUGGUUAACGGCCAGGCGGGUGAAACCGACGGCAAGUGCAACAGAGAGUAGACCGCCAACCCCCGGGUUUCGAUUCGGGGCGGUAAGGGUGAAAGGGUGGUGUAAGAGACCACCAGCACGGGUAGUGAUAUUCGUGGCUGGGUAAACCCCAUGCGGAGCAAGACUAAAUAGGGAGACACGAGACUUCGGUCUCAGGGAGUGGCCCGCUCCCGGUUUCCGGGUAAGUCGCUAGAGGCAGUGAGUAAUUGCUGUCCCAGAUGAAUGGCAACCGGCUCGUUCGCGAGUUACAGAAUUCGGCUUAUAGAAAGUCCCGCACC